rnacentral:rRNA from 1 species
UUCCGGUUGAUCCUGCCGGACCUUACUGCUAUCGGGGUGGGACUAAGACAUGCGAGUCGAGCGUCUCUAGCUAUGUUGAGACGCGGCAGACGGCUCAGUAACACGUGGCUAACCUACCCUCAGGACGAGUACAAACCCGGGAAACUGGGGCUAAUACUCGAUAGGUGAGUAUAUCUGGAAUGAUUUCUCACUCAAAGGGCUUUGGAUACAUGCUUCCAACGUCGCCUGGGGAUGGGGCCGCGUCCGAUCAGGUUGUUGGUGAGGUAACGGCUCACCAAGCCUAUAACCGGUACGGGCCAUGAGAGUGGUAGCCCGGAGAUGGGUACUGAGACAAGGACCCAGGCCCUACGGGGCGCAGCAGUCGCGAAAACUCCGCAAUGCACGAAAGUGUGACGGGGCUACCCCGAGUGCCAUCCGCUGAGGGUGGCUUUUCUUUGGUAUAAUUAGCCAUUGGAAUAAGGAGAGGGCAAGACUGGUGUCAGCCGCCGCGGUAAUACCAGCUCUCCGAGUGGUAGGGAUGUUUAUUGGGCUUAAAGCGUCCGUAGCCGGCUUAGCAAGUCUCCUGUUAAAUUCAGCGACCUAAUCGUUGACCCGCGGGAGAUACUACUAAGCUAGGAGGCGGGAGAGGUCGACGGUACUUCUGGGGUAGGGGUGAAAUCCUAUAAUCCCGGGAGGACCACCAGUGGCGAAGGCUGUCGACUAGAACGCGCUCGACGGUGAGGGACGAAAGCUGGGGGAGCGAACCGGAUUAGAUACCCGGGUAGUCCCAGCCGUAAACGAUGCGGGCUAGGUGUUGGGAUGGCUACGUGCCAUUUCAGUGCCGCAGGGAAGCCAUUAAGCCCGCCGCCUGGGGAGUACGGCCGCAAGGCUGAAACUUAAAGGAAUUGGCGGGGGAGCACCACAAGGCGUGAAGCUUGCGGUUCAAUUGGAGUCAACGCCGGG